UGUAGGUUUGUGCUGUGUUUGUAUGUGUGAUCUGAGCGCCAUCCGGUGGACAGACGACAUUUUUAUUUGAUACUCGCGCCAUUUUUGCGUUGAGUAUGGGCGCAACCAAGUGUAUAAUUGGAGGGGGGCACUCACCCAUUUUCCUUAACAAACGGAAAUAUAUUAAAAACGAGUAGACGUAAAUAAAUAGAAUAGAUGAAAAGACAGAUCAGUUUGCAAGGUUCAUUAAAGGGGGACAUAUAGAAAACAUUUUCUACUGUAUAUUGGGAGGGAAAGAUUGGUAUUACCUCAACAUUGGCGGGGACACGCCCCCCCCAAAAGAAUACGUGGUUACGCCCAUGGUUGUAGGAGACACAUUUUUCCUCAGGAGUCACAACACAGCAGACACGGGGUUUUCUUUCUUCAAUUUUAACUUUUCUCAGGAGUUUAAGUCAUCUGGUGGGCGUGGCUGAGUGCGCAGGUGCGUCAUUCAAACCGAGCGAGAUGACUGUUGAGAAUCAGACAGCGCGAGACAGCUCCUUUCAGCUAAAUUGAGGGUGGUUCCUAUUAGGUCUGCUAAUGGGACCGCCCUCCUGAUUGGCUGAAUAUAAAGGCACCCGCUCUAGCGGCGCUGCUUGCAGAACAGCAAGAUGUCACGGAGGAGAGCGUGUCCAGUUUGUCGGCGUUUCUACACCAACGUGCAGGCUCAUCUCGCCCAGAUUCAUCAGCAGGGUCCAGAGGAACGCGGGCUUCACCUGGCGGCGGCGAGCGGGUGAUAUGCGGAUCCUCUGGACUGCCCGGUGUCUGCAUGCAGCAGGAAAGGUUUCCGCCGGCUAGACUGCCACCUGUUCGACCUUCACCAGCUCGCCGGGGACACGGUCAGGAAGUUACUACUCGGCGCCAAAAUAAAGCUGCUCAACAACAACUGCAAGCUUUCGGUGAGGCGAAGAAAUCUAAAAGUUGCAAAUGUUCUCAACUGAUCGAAAAAGUAGCAAAACUCUCCGCAGAAUUUGAGCGGCUGUCAGCACUAGUAGCCCGGCAUGUCCCCGGCCGCCUGCCCAACCCCCUUUUUUUUUUUUCCAGAGCCAAUGUUAAGUGUACACGGCUCGGCUUGACAGGCCUCAGAGAUGUCCCCAAAGCCACGGCCAACAGCAAGCAGGAGAGGAGACACGUCGAGCACUUCCUUCACUUUGUGGGCCAACACGGACAGUCCCCUGGCAGCCCACCUGAAGUACAUUGACAAUGUCUCGAGAGUCCUUGAAUGGAUGAAAUCAUUGUGCCAGCGGUAGAAGGUCACUACGGCCAAGUUAUUUCUGACGCGCGUUUCCAAGUUCCUCCAUUAACUCGAUGAGAGACUGACCGAGGGCCGAGUUGGCUCCACGAGGUUGUCGAGUCUCCAAAGACUGCUGCAGUGGGAGUGCAGACAUCUGUCCGGUCGAGUCGUGCUCCACAGGCAAGGCGUGCGAGCGGAGAAGAGCGUGGGAGUACUUACGGCUCCUGCACGGCAAACUGUCGGACGCUGUCCCUGCUUCGCUGAUCUGAAGGCUCGUCCAGCAGACCCGGACAUGCUCAACCAUUGCAUCGGGCUGCUGUGUGCUCACUUCUUUUCGGUCAGCGGACACAGGACCGGAGUCCUGCAGAACCUCACGACUGAGGAGUUUGAGAACCUCGAGAAGGCUGACGGCGGUCUCUUUCUGAUCAAUGUGAAGCAGCACAAACCUGCCUCCGCUUUCGGACUCGCUAAGCUGGCCGUCACCAAGCUGGAGCUGAAGUGGCUGAAAGCUUUCUGCCGCCUGAGGAAGCAUAUGCCGGGAUAUGAGACUUCUGUGGGGUGGCUUUUCUUUUCUGGCACACAGGCCAGGAUUUCUGCGCAUGUCGCACAGCCGAAAUUUCCUCUUUUUUUUUUUUUUUUUUAAGUACAUGGACGGAGCUCCGGGCAGAGGGCGAAGAGAGCGUCCAGACUCGUGAGCUCCAGAAUGAUCACCGCUGAAUUUUUUCCUCGUUGAUUAUAAUGGUUUAUGCGUUCCUAGUCAGGGCAAGCUACUGUUUGUUGCACCUCUUCCAUCCUCCUCCACGGUCUGAAGCCAGCUGCAGCCACCUUUUCAUCACCGUCACAAUCUCAGCACUUGUUGCCCUUGAUGUUAACGGGUUCUUUCGGACAGCAUCUAAUGAACAUGAGGCAAAACAGUUGACAACUUCUGCAAUUCGAGACACGCUAAAAAGGCUAUUUAUACUUCUACGUCAGACCUUUGCGUUGCCUGAUGUGCACCUCUAAAAAACUGUAAUAACGUCUGUGUAUGCAGACAACAGUUGUGAUUGGUCCUUUGUGCAAACAGAGACCCUCCCCGGGGAUGAUAAAUAUAUCUGCAGUAAUUUCAUAUUCACUGAGAAUAAAUGUAAUGAAGCAGAUUGCUUGUAGCUUAUAAUAAAAAUGCUGAGGCUUAUUACACACUUAUUCAAGUUACAGUUAAAUAAUGAAUAUGGGCUUAAAGUGCAGUCCCUCAUCUUUAAUUUAAAUGUAUUCACAUCCACAUUGGAGGAAUGGUUUAGGAAUUACAGCUCUUUAAUAUGUAGCCCCUUCUUUUUCAAGGGACCAAAAGUAAUUGGCCAUUUUACUGAAAAUCUGUUUCAUGGACAGGUGUGGGCUGUUCCUUCACUGUUUCAUCAGUUAAGCACAGGGUAGCUGCAGGUAUCAGCACUUACAUUAUUGGAAAUUUCUUGACUAUGAUAUUAAAAAGUAUUAGAUUUGAAGACCUGCACAUCACUUCAGUCUUGCUACACGAUACAUCAGCUAUAAUGGAUUGUGUUCAUGCAUAUACAUCCAUUCCUGGGUUUAAGUAAACUACAGCAGGGUAAACUUCUAUAGAGGUAGAUGGGAGACCAGAGCAAAUAUCCUGUUUGCAUUACCAUUUGCUCCAACAGUGAAAGAAAAAUCCAGUAUUUCCUUUCCAUGACUUUCCAGGAAAGGAGAAAUCUAGAGAGAUAAGACUUUAAGGACCUGCAGGCAGCCUGUAAGUAGAUAAAAGGUCUGGAGUUGAUUCCAGGUGUGGCAUUCACAUUUGGAAGCUGUUGUUGUGAACACACAGCAUGCGGUCAAAGGAGCUCUCAAUGCAAGUGAAACAGGCCAUCCUUAGGCUGUUAAAAAAAAAAAAAAAGAUCCAUCAGAGAGAUAGCAGGAACAUUAGGAGUGACCAAAUCAACAGUUUGGUACAGUCUGAGAAAAAAAGAACACACUGGUGAGCUCUGCAACAGAAAGGCCUGGAUGUCCACGGAAAACACAAGUGGUGGAUGAUCGUAGGAUCCUUUCCAUGGUAAAGAAAAACUCCACAACACCAGCCAAGUGAAGAACACUCUCCAGGAGGCAGGCGUAUCAUUAUCCAAGUCUCCCAUGAAGAGACGACUUCACAAGAACAAAUACAGAGUUCACCACAAGGUGCAAACCAUUCAUAAGCCUCAAGAACAGAAUGGCCAGAUUAGAUUUUGCCAAAAAAAACAUCUAAACAAGCCAGACCAAGCAUUCUUUGGGCAGAUGAAACUAAGAUCAAACUGUACCAGAAUGAUUGGAACAGCUCGUGAUCCAAAGCAUACCUCAUCAUCUGUAAAACACGGUGGAGGUAGUGUGAUGGCAUGGGCAUGCAUGGCUUCCAAUGGCACUGGGUCACUAGUAUUUAUUGGUGAUGUGACAGAAGAUCAAAGCAAGUGUAUGUGAAUAUAUUGUCUGCUCAGAUUCAGCCAAAUUCAGUGAAAUUAAUUGGACGGCUCUUCACUUUACAGUUGGACAGUGACCCAAAACAUACUGCAAAAGCAACCCAGGAGUUUUUUAAAACAAAGAAGUGGAACAUUCUGCAAUUGACAAGUCAGUCACCUGAUCUCAACCCGAUCGAGCAUGCAUUUCACACGCUGAAGACAAAAUUCAAGGCAGAAAGAAGCACGAACAUACAACACCUGAAGUCAGCUGCAGUAAAGGCCUAGCAGAGCAUCACAAAGGAGGAAACCCAGCAUUUGGUGAUGUCUGUGGGUUCCAGACUUCAAGCAGUCAUUGCCUGCAAAGUAUUCUUGACAAAGUAUUAAAAAUGAACAUUUUAUUUAUGAUUAUGUUCAUCUGUCCAAUUACAUUUGAGCCCCUUAAAUAAGGGAACUGUGUAUAAAAAUGGUUGCAAUUCCUAAACGUUUCAUAUGAUAUUUUUGUUCAACCCCUUGAAUUAAAGCUGAAAGUUGCUGGCCCAAAUUUAGCCUAUUACCCAAAGACACUUAAAGUUCAACAUAGAAGCAAAUACUCACACCUCUAAACCCAGUUGGAGAUAGAAAAAAAAAAAGACACCAGCCGUAAGUGAGAAGAAGCAAGGGUCCAGAUUUUAUUUCCACCUCACGAGAUCCACAAUGAUGAGAAUUCUCAGAAGUGAUCUGACACCUGGAGCUCAAGCUCCAGUAUUUAUACUGUAUUUACACAGUAGAUAACCAAUAUAUUUUAAAAAGACUAUGAUUUCAAUACCAAUAGGGUUAAAAAGAGCUUUAAAAAGAGCUACAUUACCAUGAUGUUUAAAAAAAGGUUUAUCAAAUUUAACAUGAUGUUUUGAAAGAGGACUUUCUGACUACCAUUAGGAUUGAAAGUGGGAGAGAGAGAAAACAAUUUUAGAGAGACCUUAGUCUCAUGUUGUUAUGUGUGUGUGCGUUGGGGCCUUUGUGUGUGUUAUGUCUGCACGCCCGCCCUUGACUGUACGAGAGUGUGUGUGUUUCUCAGCCUGCCCUCCUCAGCUCUUAUAUUUCUCUGUGACUAAUAAACCAUAGUGUGUUACUCUUAAAGAUCUUAAAGUGUGAAUCCA